CCUACGGGGGGCUGCAGUGGGGAAUAUUGGACAAUGGGGGGAACCCUGAUCCAGCCAUGCCGCGUGUGUGAAGAAGGCCCUCGGGUUGUAAAGCACUUUCAGUGAGGAAGAACGCCUGGUGGUUAAUACCCAUCAGGAAAGACAUCACUCACAGAAGAAGCACCGGCUAACUCCGUGCCAGCAGCCGCGGUAAUACGGAGGGUGCGAGCGUUAAUCGGAAUUACUGGGCGUAAAGCGCGCGUAGGUGGCUUGAUAAGCCGGUUGUGAGAGCCCCGGGCUCAACCUGGGAACGGCAUCCGGAACUGUCAAGCUAGAGUGCAGGAGAGGAAGGUAGAAUUCCCGGUGUAGCGGUGAAAUGCGUAGAGAUCGGGAGGAAUACCAGUGGCGAAGGCGGCCUUCUGGACUGACACUGACACUGAGGUGCGAAAGCGUGGGUAGCAAACAGGAUUAGAUACCCUAGUAGUC
rnacentral:rRNA from 1 species